rnacentral:rRNA from 1 species
UCGAGAAUUUUUCACAAUGAGCGAAAGCUUGAUGGAGCGACGCCGCGUGGGGGAUGAAUGGCUUCGGCCCGUAAACCCCUGUCAUUCGGGAUCAAUGCUGUCCGGUUAACACCUGGGCAGUUGAUAGUACCGGAAGAGGAAGGGACGGCUAACUCUGUGCCAGCAGCCGCGGUAAUACAGAGGUCCCAAGCGUUGUUCGGAUUUACUGGGCGUAAAGGGCGCGUAGGUGGCAAAAAAAGUCUGGUGUGAAAUCUCUGAGCUCAACUCAGAAACUGCAUUAGAAACUGUUUUGCUAGAGUGUUGGAGGGGAGAUUGGAAUUCUCGGUGUAGCAGUGAAAUGCGUAGAUAUCGAGAGGAACACCAGUGGCGAAGGCGAAUCUCUGGACAACUACUGACGCUGAUGCGCGAAAGCUAGGGGAUCAAACGGG